UGUCAGGGUCACGCUUUAACAAUGGCAGCACUUUUCUCUCUUCCUCUUUCUGUCUCUAGAUAGAAACGCCUGAGUCCGGCUGACGGUGCAGGUUCAGAGCUGAUUGGCUGGUUCGUCCCUCGCAAACAUGGCAGAAGCGUCUCGGCCGUCUGAGUGACGUCCGCUAGCGUGCACCGACUGGCUGGCAGGAGGCUAACGGGUGGAGAACAACACGGCCGACUCACGAUGGUCAGGAUCUGAUGGAGGCCAAAGCUGAGCUAAAAGAAGAGUGACUGGACUCAGCUGUUCCUCCACGGCUGCUCCAUGUACAAACAAGCUCCUUAAACUCUGAACUUCUUCUGAUGAACCGACGGGCCGAACAAACGGGUGAGCAUCUGACGAGCAAACCAGACGUGAAGUGGACAACGUGUUUGACAAGACGUCGGUCACGUUGAGCUCCUGCCACCACUGCUUGAUAAAAUGUUGAAUCACUGAGAGUAAACAGUUUGGGUUUCUUCCCCAGAUGUCCUGCUCUGUGGAUGGAAGGAUGAAGAGCAGGAGAAGGAGAAGAAGAAGGAGCAGAAGAAGAAGAGUACUCAGCGGCAGAAGAAGUGAACGACUCCCUCCUUCUCCUCCUCCUCUUUUCCUCCCUCCCUUCUUCUUUAACUGUGACCCAGUGAGCUGCUCAUUCACUGCCACCAAACCCUGAGAGAGAGAGAGAGAGAGAGAGAGAGUCAGUGGGGGGUGAUGAGGUAACAAACACACACACACACACAGAAACGAACUGUAAAGACAACACUGACGUAGACCUGCAGUAGACCUGGAGCAGGACCGUGUGCUGCCCCCUGCUGUGCACACUGUACAGCCACACCUGCUGUCAAUGUCAUGAAGACAACUCGGCUGUUUGCAGACGACACCGUCCUCAUCAGGUCGACCUUUAUCAGUCUCACACUGGGACACCUGCUGCUCAGCAUCAAUUAAACCAAAGAGCUGAUUGUUGAGUUUGGAAAAAAGGAAGCAAAGACACAAACAACACGAGUGGAGCUGAGACUGAAGCAGGAUGAAAUGAAAAGAAAAACCAAACAAUAUCUUCAGUUAUUUAUAUUAUUCAUAAACAUUUAGGCCUACCUGUACAUGGUACACACUAUAUAUAUUUAUAUAUGUAUACAUCCCCAAAGCAUGUAAAAUAUGCGCAUGACAUCAUCUGACCCAAAAGGUGUUUGAUUAUGCUAUUUGUAUAUUUUAUUGCUAAAUGGAAGCAUGACUCUCCCGUCCACUGACUUCAUGAAAAGGUUUUGAAUUGAUGUGCUCAGCCAUCAGAUUUGAGCCCAGCAGUGAGUGUGGAGCUGCAGGUAAACAGUAUUUUUACUGCAGGUUUUGGGUUUCAAGUAAUUAAGUUAACCGAGUAUUAAACAGCACUAAUUGUUUCAGCCAGGCUACAUAGUGCAUGAAACUGUGUUGUCAUUGAAACAAUAUAAAGUGGACAAAGUUAAAUAUUAGUGCAACUCAUACCAAGCAAAUUGACACGUGAUGUUUUCAGUUCAUUUAAUCUCAUUUCAUAUCAAAGCAGCUUCAGACGAUUCUCAGUUCAGACCACUAAACACUCCGAUUAUUCAAAGUUUCCAUCUGUUACAGUUAGGUUGGUGCAAAAUCACGACUCACAUGUUCAAAUACCUUGUAAGUUUAGACAAUAAAGCCGUUUACCGUUUAAAAUUGAGGUUCACAAUUAGCCAGAUUAAGUGUAAGUAAUGUUUUAAAUACUGUUGAAUAGUAGCUGCUUUUAUCUGCCAUCAUAAAGACACAAAGUUAAAGCCCACGGCUGAGAGGAUUUAAGGCCAGCAGUGCCCCCUCCUGAAGCCUCUCUCUUCUGAUGCUGCCUCGGGAGUUUUUCAGGACUUUGGGAUUGCACCUCCCUGAACUAUCAGGAUAUCAGUUUAUGUUGGAUUACUAUUGUUGUGUUGUCAUUUCAGUGUUAAUGUUGUGCACUUAGUU